CAUCAUGGAGUUGACGGAGUUGCUGAGGUUUUUGACUCUCUGUAUGCUUUUCUCCAAGAAGCCUUUUCCUGUGUUUCUCGAGACUGCUGGUUAUUCUCAUGAUGAUGUCCUUCUUCAGAAGCCUAAAGCUGGGGUAUGUCAUUUCUAUUUGAUAUUUUUCCUUCUUGCUAUUACUCGUGAUGAUUAGCUUGUUUAGGGUAACUAUGUGCUUUCUUUCCAACUACUUAAGCACUAUUUGGAUAACUUCUCUUAGGAAUGUGUAUUUUGGGAGAUAAUAAUAUAUCUUCCUCAGAAUGAUUGGUCUUCAGUAUUAAACGUUGGACUUAGUUGCUAGGAAGAGUUUUAUUAGUAGAUUUUUUUUUUUCUUUGAUAUAACGACCAUCAUGCUGGUCAACAUGGAAAUUAAAAUCAAGGGGAAGCUUGAAAAUAGAUCAGCGCCAAUUGUUUUUGUCUGGUUGGCAUUUUUAUACUUUGCGAGUUCUGUUUAAUUUUUAUUUAAUUUAUUUCCGGAUCCAUGAUCAGUUGGUUUUUGGGUCCUGUAGGUCUCCGACGCAUUCUACGCCCACCACCACCAGUACCACGUCCCACGUUUUCACGCGCCUGAACCUGCUUCGAAUAACCCAUCGAACAAAAAAAGUCAAAUCCAUUUCGCUAACAAUGAAAUUAAAAGUUGAGAACUUUACCUGCGGAGGUGGUGCUGCAUCUUCCUCACGUGAUCUGCUACUAUCUACCCGACGUUUCCAUAAGAACAAAGGGAUCACCGCAGCUAUGAGGAUCAUGGAGACUAUCAGAGCGAAGAUCUCCUCCAUCUCUUUACCUGCGAUCGAGAAAAAAAGGGGAAUUUGAAGGAAAUGUUGAGACAAAGCCAAACGAGGAUGAUGAAAUUGAAAGAGGUUUGAUUCAGAUGAUGAUUACGAAAUUAACCUAAUUGAGUUUCUUUUCACGCUUUGUUGUCUUCUCUAUGCUCGAGGAUUGCAGAAACUCUCGAUUAGAGAAGAAAGACAAUCAACGCGGGGUUAAUUUCGUAAUUUACAACUUUCGAACACUCUGGGGCCGUCAGAGUCUUUCGUGCCUUUCCGGCCGAGGUUAUAAAUAAGAUCAAUGAACACCGGUUCGGUUUAGGAGUCCUCUAUUGGAUCACUGGUCCUUUUUAAAGUUACAAACACACAAAUAGUAGUAAGAUUGUGAUUCAACAAUUUCAUAUCUAUUUUAUUAAACAAGUAACAAGAGUAACACAAAGUACAUAAGAUGGUAGUCUCUUAGUAUCAUACCGAGUCUAGAUCGAAACAAAACCAAGCAACACAAGAGAUCAAAGAAGAAGGUUGAGGAAAUGUUUUGGAAAGGGAGGGAGAACGAUAGUGAUACACUAUAACAGAACAAAGCAAACGGACUAGGGACAAUGCAGCUCAGAAACCAUGGAUCUUGAUGUUGUCCUUCUUCACUAGGCCAGCCUGUUUUCCAAGAAAAGAAGUAAAGAGCAAUGAGAUUAAUGCAACAAUGUUUAGGUUUUGUCCGUGAAAGAAGGUGAUCAUUACCUGGACACAGCCUGCCUUCACGAUCAUACGUGAUACCAAUUCAAAAUGUUUCCUGCUACUGAUACGUGGCACUCAUAGCAUCAAAGAUACACUUACAGCGGCAACUGGUGCAGUGGUCCCGUUCCAUCAUUCAGUGUUGCAUGAUGGUGGUCUAAGCAACUUAGUUUUAGGUUAUGCACAUUGCGGAAUGGUUGCUGCAGCUCGUUGGAUUGCUAAACUUAGUGUUCCGUGCCUCAUCAAGGCCCUUAAUGA
rnacentral:lncRNA from 1 species